rnacentral:rRNA from 1 species
GACGAACGCUGGCGGCGUGCUUAACACAUGCAAGUCGAACGGAAAGGCCCUGCUUUUGUGGGGUGCUCGAGUGGCGAACGGGUGAGUAACGCGUGAGUAACCUGCCCUCGACUUUGGGAUAACUUCAGGAAACUGGGGCUAAUACCGGAUAGGAGCUCCUGCUGCAUGGUGGGGGUUGGAAAGUUUCGGCGGUUGGGGAUGGACUCGCGGCUUAUCAGCUUGUUGGUGGGGUAGUGGCUUACCAAGGCUUUGACGGGUAGCCGGCCUGAGAGGGUGACCGGCCACAUUGGGACUGAGAUACGGCCCAGACUCCUACGGGAGGCAGCAGUGGGGAAUAUUGCACAAUGGGCGGAAGCCUGAUGCAGCAACGCCGCGUGCGGGAUGACGGCCUUCGGGUUGUAAACCGCUUUCGCCUGUGACGAAGCGUGAGUGACGGUAAUGGGUAAAGAAGCACCGGCUAACUACGUG